GAAGGUCUGUAGCUCAAUGGUAGAGGGCUGGCUUUGCAUGCAGAAGGCCCCUGGUUCAGUCCCUGGCAUCGUCA